rnacentral:rRNA from 1 species
UACGAAGGGGGCUAGCGUUGCUCGGAAUCACUGGGCGUAAAGGGCGCGUAGGCGGAUCUUUAAGUCGGGGGUGAAAGCCUGAGGCUCAACCUCAGAAUUGCCUUCGAUACUGGAAAUCUUGAGACCGGAAGAGGUAAGUGGAACUGCGAGUGUAGAGGUGAAAUUCGUAGAUAUUCGCAAGAACACCAGUGGCGAAGGCGGCUUACUGGUCCGGUUCUGACGCUGAGGCGCGAAAGCGUGGGGAGCAAACAGG